CUUCUCUUGCUCUGUCUCUCUCCCUUUCUCUUUCUCUCAUGGGUCCAAACAUUCCGUGGAUGUUAAAAGAUAAAAAGCAGCUGUUCUCUUUCAAAACUUGGCCUCUCAAAAUGUGAAGAUGUGUGAACGGAGCCUCCAGGAGAACCGCCAGCUCAGAAGGUGAUAAAGCAAAGGACCCUUCAGCAUCUCACAUUGGAAACUCCUUAAGGAGCUACAUCGGCCCCUCGUUCCUACCAGCUAUGAAGUUAUCUACUUCUUGUUUAUCUCAUCAAGGCUUUGACAUAUUGCCAUCACGGACAAACAGGAUAAUUAGACAUCGAUUCUGCCAAGACAGGCUCACUGUCUACAAAUGUUAUUGGAUGAAGACAUCAACCACUACACAGCAAGUUGGAGAGAUCCCCAUAUCAAAGAAGCAGGGAUGUCAGAGACAGGGGCUCUGCACUCAGAACAAGGGCUCCUGCCACCGAGGGUCGGGUCACUUGACCUGGAGGCAGUUGGCUUAAGCCGUGAAGGCCGUGUGAGAUGGCCACUUUGAGAGGAGAUGGGUGGCUGGGAGGCCUGACAGAUGGAGAACCUGGGCAGAUACAAAGGACCACUGUCUGGGCCAUAGUUGUCUCUCAAAAUGAACCAUUGGAUGACUGCUUCCGGCGCAGAGAAUGAACAGAAAAUGGGAGUAACAUCCGGACCAGAGGCAGGGAGCCUCACAUAAGGGCCUCAAGGCUUCCGCCUUUACACUGCUGGGCAAAAGGGGCUCCGGGGGGUUUGGGGCAGUGACGAGGGACUCCAAGACUUUGGCCAAACCUGUGCCGACGGAAGGCCCUGUCCCACGGCUGGAUUAUGUGGUGGACCCCUCCUUGCAGCGGGCCCCAAACUGCUGUCCUGCAUCUUAGUUCCCUGUGAC
rnacentral:lncRNA from 1 species